rnacentral:rRNA from 1 species
AGAGUUUGAUCCUGGCUCAGGACGAACGCUGGCGGCGUGCCUAAUACAUGCAAGUCGAGCGGACCGAUGGGAGCUUGCUCCCUUAGGUCAGCGGCGGACGGGUGAGUAACACGUGGGUAACCUGCCUGUAAGACUGGGAUAACUCCGGGAAACCGGGGCUAAUACCGGAUGCUUGAUUGAACCGCAUGGUUCAAUCAUAAAAGGUGGCUUUUAGCUACCACUUACAGAUGGACCCUCGGCGCAUUAUCUAGUUGGUGAGGUAACGGCUCACCAAGGCGACAAUGCGUAGCCGACCUGAGAGGGUGAUCGGCCACACUGGGACUGAGACACGGCCCAGACUCCUACGGGAGGCAGCAAUAGGGAAUCUUCCGCAAUGGACGAAAGUCUGACCGAGCAACACCGCGUGAGUGAUGAAGGUUUUCGGAUCCUAAAACAUCUGUUGUUAGGGAAGAACAAGUACCGUUCGAAUAUGGCGGUACCUUGACGGUACCUAACCAGAAAGCCACGGCUAACUACAUGCCAUCAGCCGCGGUAAUACUUAGGUGGCAAGCGUUGUCCGGAAUUAUUGGGCGUAAAGCGCGCGCAGGCGGUUUCUUAAGUCUGAUGUGAAAGCCCANUGCUCAACAUGAGACGGUCAUUGGAAACUGGCGAACUUGAGUGCACAAGAUGACAGUGAAAUUCCACGUGUAUCGGUGAAAUGCAUAGAGAUG